UUGGAGUUUUCGAGAUGGAUGAUUUCGUACCUCGGCGUAUGCACUUGAACAUCCAUCCACUUCAAAAUUCUUACCUUGUUUAUGGACAUAUAGCUAGACGAAAUGCAGCUGUUGUGCUCUAGUCAUCAAAUAAGAAGGCAUAGGUUGAGAAGAUCAUGGAGACCAAGCAAGUUUGGAGGCGGAGGCGUAGGGGCAAGUUCAUGUAAUAGGUUUGUUUUUUGUGUGGCAGAUCAUCAUUGGAUGGCUAAUGGAUAGUGUCAGGUUUCUCUCCAAUUGCAGAGGUUAUUUUUACGUGGGUAGCACUGAUUGAAUGAGAGAAACAACAGUAAAAUGAGGGCGUGGGGCUCAGAUGUGAGUACCUUUUCAAUUUCUUUGCCUCCACUGUCUCCUCCCAUCUUUUUUUGUACUUUUUGUGCCCUUCUUUUCCUUGUAUCUUUUGAUUGCGUU